rnacentral:rRNA from 1 species
UACGAGGGGGGCGAGCGUUGUUCGGAAUUAUUGGGCGUAAAGGGUGCGUAGGCGGUUUGGUAAGUCUGAUGUGAAAUCUAUGGGCUCAACUCAUAGUCUGCAUCGGAAACUGCCGGGCUUGAGUGUGGGAGAGGUGAGUGGAAUUCCCCGGUGUAGCGGUGAAAUGCGUAGAUAUCGGGAGGAACACCUGUGGCGAAAGCGGCUCACUGGACCACAACUGACGCUGAUGCACGAAAGCUAGGGGAGCAAACAGG